ACGGAGAAGGCAGUAUGAACGCAGCAGUGGUGAACGGUUUGGGCUCAUUCAUACUAUCACUGAUUGAGAGACCAAGCGAGUAGCGUUCACUCUCUCCUUUUUCUUUCUUCUUUUCUUCUUCUUAUUACUGUUAUUACGUUUUUUUUUCCAUUUCCCCUUCAUUCAAAUUUAGGGUUUCCAAUUCCCACAAUUUAGGGUUUUCAUGUUCUUUGAAUCUCAAUUUUUCAUGUCUUAUGAAUCGACAUGUUCUCUCUUUUCUCCGAACCCUUCCUCCUCGCCGUCGCAGUAACCGCCCUCUAUUUCUUCCUCGCGCUUUUCUCUCUCUCUUCCGACCGUUUUCGUUUCAGUUUUCAUUCGCAAGAUUCACGCCGCCGUUCAACCACUGUGCUUCAUCCGAUUCUGAAGAUUAUGUGCCUUACUUGAACGGAAGUGUUGCGGAUAUGAUAAAGAUCAGUCCUUCUCCUGUGCCGGUUGUGUUGGCUGAUCGUCGAAGUGGCUCUUCUAUGAUGGAGGAGCUUGUUCCCGAGAUUACGACGCACGCGCUUAGUUACUUUGAUUAUCCGAGUUUGUGUCCAGCUUUAUAAACACCAAGACUGAAGGUCAUUACAUUGCUUUGAGCUUGGUUGACCGUGGCUCAAAAGUUCUUCAUUUUUCCAAAAGCCCGAACAUAGGUCUAAGAAAAUGUCAUCAGGAAUGAUACAAAAGGAGAAACCAUGCAAGCCAUAUUUUGGAAUAGGAGGAAUAACCAUCGAAGCCUUUGUUGUCUGAAAAUGAAAUUCGCUAGGAACUUGGCCUCCAGGAAUGAAAGAUAGUUCAUAAAAAUAACAAUGAUUGGAAGAAUUACUAUCCAUUGAAUCGGUAACAUAUUCUUAAGCAUUGUAUGUUGAAUUGAGUUAGUGUCCAGGUAAAUGCAGUUUGUGGCGCUCAAUAUUUCCAAGGUUGCAGGAAGAUUUGGUAGGGACUUAACUUUCCUGCAUUCAUCUAAUUCAAGAGUUUUCAACUUUGAAUUGUUUUGGAUGUUGUCAGGGAGAGUUUCUAAGUUGCAGCAUUCUUUCAUGUAUAGUUUUUCUAAAGAUGGCGAACCAUCAAGGAUGUACCAGAGACUCAAUGCAUUGAUUUGUGUGCAUCCAUUAAGCCACAGAUCUGUGAGAGACCCCAUUCCUUUAUCGUUUGAUAACUUCUUCCCAACAAUGUUAAGCUUCUUACAUUGAAUUAGAUCAAAAUGAAUGCAAUUCUCGGCUGCCAAUUUCCGCAAGCUAGCUGGAAGUUUUGGUAGGGACUUAAGUUUCCAGCAUUCAUUUAAAUGGAUAAAUUCCAACAUUGAAUUGUUUUGAAUGUUGUUAGGGAGAGUUUCUAAGUUGCGACACUUUCUCAAAUGAAGUUCUUUUAAAGACGGUGUGCCAUCAAGGAUGAACCAAAGAUUCGAUGCAUUGAGUUGUGUGCAUCCAUAGGUAUAUGCUGUUUUGGCUUGUCAUUUUGAGUGCAAAAUUUUCGUUUGCUUACUUUCUUCAGGUUUGUGUUAUAUUCAUAGUUUCCUCCAAAUUGGAACUAUGCAUUUGUUUGUUCAUGUGUUUGUGUGUGGGUGGCUGGAUAAUGUUGCUUGUACCUAAUGUAUAUAUGCUUACAUGCUUGUGAGAACUUGAAUGUUUUAUUUUUGUGGUUUGCAGAUCAAGCCACUUGUAGUCCCGACAAGGGAUAUAAUAAAAGAAAAUAAUAUAGUGUACUAUUGGCAUGAUUUUGUCUCUAAAAGUAAGCAAUGGUCGUUUUAAAUUUAUGGUUGUCUUUUUGUUUCCUCUCGAUACUAUUGGCUACUAAAGUGUCAUUAUUCUUGCAGAUAAUCACAAUGCUCUGACAAUUAUUAGCAUAUGGGCUCCAUUUAAUCUUAUAAAUAGUUCUAUGGGCUGCCUUUCCUUAAAUAGUGUCAACUAAGAAGAGGAUAUCUUAUCCCCUGCUUUGCUGCUUCUACUUUUCUCAUGAAUGAGAGGUUUCAUAGUAUGAAUGUUAAUGUGAAAUUUUUGCACGCUAUUGUUUCCAUGAUAUAGCUGGAACUUAGUUUCUGCUAUGAUUUAUUAAGCCUUAUAGCAUGAUAUGUGUAGGUUCAUUUGCACUCAAAACAAGCUUUUAUGCCGCAGGCUAUAUCUUGAAAAACAUGCUUAGCUUUUGUAACUCAAAUAAAUAUAUUAUCUUAAGAAGUUUCGAACUAAUAUUGAGUUGGAAUUUUUUCAGUUCUGAAGGUUAUAUUUUUCUGGUUUAAUAGUUAGUAAAUUGUAUGGAAGCUUGUGACUGAGAAAAUCUAAAUAAGUUCAUAUUUAUGGUUAUACACAUAUUUCUAAUUGUUUUUCCAUCAUCCAUACUAUUUACCUUUAACUGUCACACUGUUAUAUUUUUCUUUGUUUUAUUUUUGGUGGGUUUUGGUUGCUGUUUUGAAUUUGCUAGUUCUUUUAAUUUCAGGUAACAAUGAUGUCUUAGUUGAAGAGAUUACAGAGCGCGAUGAAGGUGCUCUUAAGUUUCUCAAAGAUAUCAAGUGGACAAGGAUUGAAGAACCUAAAGGAUUCAAACUUGGUUAAUUUGUUUUGUUUAACGCUGCAGAAUACAUUUAUUUAUCGUGCUGAUGCGGUCUGAACUACACACUGCACGACUUCAGAAUUCAAGUGCUGAUGCGAGGAGUCAUGUUCGGCUGGAGAGAACUUGUUUUCCUAGGGAGCAAUAUAUAUAUAUAUAUAUAUAUAUAUAUAUAUA